rnacentral:rRNA from 1 species
UACGUAGGUGGCAAGCGUUGUCCGGAUUUAUUGGGUUUAAAGGGUGCGUAGGCGGCCUAUUAAGUCAGUUCUGAAAUAUCCCGGCUUAACCGGGAGGGUGGGAUUGAUACUGAUGGGCUUGAGUGGACUCGAGGUAGGCGGAAUUGACGGUGUAGCGGUGAAAUGCUUAGAUAUCGGGAGGAACACCAGUGGCGAAGGCGGCCUUCUGGACCAGUACUGACGCUCAUGCACGAAAGCGUGGGGAGCAAACAGG